GAGGCACCAUCUUCAGCUGCAUAGAGAGUUUGAGGCCAGACUGAUCUGUAUAUGGAUACCCCAUUUCCUCUCUUCUAUUUAUUGAACAAAAUGGAUGGUCAGACCCACUUUGUCUUCAUCAGGAGCCUUAUGUCCACCAUGUCCUAUGCUGGGCAUUGGUUUCCUGGCUGCUUCUACAGGACAAUGGAGUGGGGAGAAGAUCAGACUGUUACCUCUACUAAGGUUCCCAGCUGUAGGGGAAACUCUGACAGUUUCUCACAAUGUGGCCCUGGCUACUUAGGAACACAAUACAUACACCAGGCUACACUUCAACUCACAGAAUUCCACUUGCCUCUACCUCCUGA